GUGGGGAAUAUUGGACAAUGGGCGAAAGCCUGAUCCAGCCAUGCCGCGUGUGUGAAGAAGGUCUUCGGAUUGUAAAGCACUUUAAGUUGGGAGGAAGGGCAGUAAGUUAAUACCUUGCUGUUUUGACGUUACCAACAGAAUAAGCACCGGCUAACUUCGUGCCAGCAGCCGCGGUAAUACGAAGGGUGCAAGCGUUAAUCGGAAUUACUGGGCGUAAAGCGCGCGUAGGUGGUUCAGCAAGUUGAAGGUGAAAUCCCCGGGAUCAACCUGGGAACUAGCUCCAAAACUACUGAGCUAGAGUACGGUAGAGGGUAGUGGAAUUUCCUGUGUAGCGGUGAAAUGCGUAGAUAUAGGAAGGAACACCAGUGGCGAAGGCGACUACCUGGACUGAUACUGACACUGAGGUGCGAAAGCGUGGGGAGCAAACAGGAUUAGAAACCCGAGUAGUCC
rnacentral:rRNA from 1 species